GAACAAAUUUUGAAAAUUUUAAUCAUUUAUUUUUUAAAAGAAAUAUAAACAAACAAUAACAAGAGAAAAAUGAUAUUGAAUUUAGAGCACUGUCUAUUUGUUUUUUGUAUGAUUAUACAGGGUGUAUCUUACUACCCGUACUAUGCUUUUUUUCUCAGAAAGGCUAAGAGAAAGGAGAUAAGGAGAAAAAUUUUGAUAACCAAAGUAUAUCCGGAGAAUCGAAUGGUCAAUAAUAAAAAUUUUGUGAUCCCACUGGAAAAAGGAGCGCAAGGGGUUAACUUUGAAAUCUCCAAUGAAAUGGUAUACCGAUUUAGGCAUAAUCGGAUACAAUUCU
rnacentral:lncRNA from 1 species